GUUUGAUCKUGGCUCAGGAUGAACGCUAGCGGCAGGCCUAACACAUGCAAGUCGAGGGGUAACAAGUCUAGCUUGCUAGAUGUUGACGACCGGCGCACGGGUGCGCAACGCGUAUACAAUCUACCCCCUACUGUGGGAUAGCCCAGAGAAAUUUGGAUUAAGACCACAUGGUACCAUUUUACGGCAUCGUAUUAAUGGUUAAAGGUUACGGUAGGGGAUGAGUAUGCGUCCCAUUAGUUAGUUGGCGAGGUAACGGCUCACCAAGACCGCGAUGGGUAGGGGCCCUGAGAGGGGGAUCCCCCACACUGGUACUGAGACACGGACCAGACUCCUACGGGAGGCAGCAGUGAGGAAUAUUGGACAAUGGGCGGGAGCCUGAUCCAGCCAUGCCGCGUGCAGGAAGAAUGCCCUAUGGGUAGUAAACUGCUUUUAUACGGGAAGAAAAAGAGCUACGUGUAGCUUACUGACGGUACCGUAAGAAUAAGGACCGGCUAACUCCGUGCCAGCAGCCGCGGUAAUACGGAGGGUCCGAGCGUUAUCCGGAAUUAUUGGGUUUAAAGGGUCCGUAGGCGGGCCGAUAAGUCAGUGGUGAAAGUUUGCAGCUCAACUGUAAAAUUGCCUUUGAUACUGUCGGUCUUGAGUUAUAGUGAAGUUGCCGGAAUAUGUAGUGUAGCGGUGAAAUGCAUAGAUAUUACAUAGAACACCGAUUGCGAAGGCAGGUGACUAACUAUA
rnacentral:rRNA from 1 species